AUUCAGAUUAUUUUCCGUUUUUUAUUAUUUCGAUUAUUAUUAGGGAUUAUUAUUGGUAUUAUUAUUCGAAUCACUAUGAUGUGAUAUCAGAUCAUCACACAUCCGCGCGACUAAUAUGUGAAUACAUUGACAGGGUGGUCCAAAGGUCAGUCUAACUUACAGUAGUCAGAAGAUGACCGAGUAAGAGAGAAAAAGUUGUUUCAGAGGAGCAAUAAAUGUGUAACUUC